rnacentral:tRNA from 1 species
GAGGAUAUAGCUCAGUAAUAGAUUGUGUGCUUAGCAGGCAUGAGGUCCUGGGUUCAAUCCCCAGUACCUCCA